UCGGGUUGUAAAGCACUUUUGUCCGGCAAGAAAACUUCUGCCCUAAUACGGUGGGAGGAUGACGGUACCGGAAGAAUAAGCACCGGCUAACUACGUGCCAGCAGCGCGGUAAUCGUAGGGUGCGAGCGUUAAUCGGAAUUACUGGGCGUAAAGCGUGCGCAGGCGGUUCGUUAAGACAGAUGUGAAAUCCCCGGGCUUAACCUGGGAACUGCAUUUGUGACUGGCGAGCUAGAGUAUGGCAGAGGGGGGUAGAAUUCCACGUGUAGCAGUGAAAUGCGUAGAGAUGUGGAGGAAUACCGAUGGCGAAGGCAGCCCCCUGGGCCAAUACUGACGCUCAUGCACGAAAGCGUGGGGAGCAAACAGGAUUAGAUACCCUGGUAGUCCACGCCCUAAACGAUGUCAACUAGUUGUUGGGUCUUCAUUGACUUAGUAACGUAGCUAACGCGUGAAGUUGACCGCCUGGGGAGUACGGUCGCAAGAUUAAAACUCAAAGGAAUUGACGGGGACCCGCACAAGCGGUGGAUGAUGUGGAUUGAUUCGAUGCAACGCGAAAAACCUUACCUACCCUUGACAUGGUCGGAACCCUGCUG
rnacentral:rRNA from 1 species